ACAUGCAAGUCGAGGGGCAGCGCAGUGUAGCAAUACAUGGGCGGCGACCGGCAAACGGGUGCGGAACACGUACACAACCUUCCUUCGAGUGGGGGAUAGCCCAGGGAAACUUGGAUUAAUACCCCGUAAUAUAUAGGGGUGGCAUCACUUUUAUAUUAAAGUUGAGGCGCUUGAAGAUGGGUGUGCGUAUGAUUAGGUAGUUGGCGGGGUAACGGCCCACCAAGCCUACGAUCAUUAACUGGUGUGAGAGCACGACCAGUCACACGGGCACUGAGACACGGGCCCGACUCCUACGGGAGGCAGC
rnacentral:rRNA from 1 species